GCCUGGAUUCCAUCCCCUCUGGACCACCCUGGCUUCUAGAAGGAGGCCUGGGCCCGAUGGUAAGCUUGGGCUUGACCAUCCCCGCGGGCCACAGGGCACAGCCUCCAGUAUUGCUGUGGCCCAGACAUCCCAACCCAGGCUGCCCACUGCACCCCUCUCUUGCCUCUGGCUGAUGGGUCCCGCUGACCAGGCCGGGCCCUUGAUAUCCCCUUCCCCCUGGGAUCAGGCCACCCAGGGCCUUCAUGCUGCCCCCAGAGCACUCUUCCUUGAAGCUUUAGCUAGGUUCCUUCCCCCGGGGCUCUGCUCCCUUUCGCUGUGGGACCACCCCCUGGAAAGGAGACCUUGUAGGGAGAAAAGCUGUGAGCCCCCAGCGGUUAAAGCCCCCCUCUGCCGAGGAGCUCUCCUCAGUGCUGGGGGCUUUAGGUUCAUUGGCUGAUGGAGUCCUCACCACCCUGCCCCAGCUGACAGACGAGGGGACAAGGCUCAGACCAGUGAAGCGUCUUGCUCCAGGUCACACAGGGCAGCAGCACCCCAUCAGGGCCCUGCAGUGCAC
rnacentral:lncRNA from 1 species